GCCAGCGUGGCGUAGUGGUUUGAGCAUUGGGCGAUGACUCUGGAGAUCAGGGUUCAAUUCCCUGCUCACCCA